rnacentral:rRNA from 1 species
GUGUCAGCCGCCGCGGUAAAACGUAGGAGGCGAGCGUUAUCCGGAGUUACUGGGCGUAAAGCGUGCGUAGGCGGUUUCGUAAGUGGGACGUGAAAGCUCCCGGCUAAACUGGGAGAGGACGACUCAGACUGCGAAACUAGAGGGCGAUAGAGGAGCGCGGAAUUCGGGGUGUAGCGGUGAAAUGUGUAGAGAUCCCGAGGAACACCAGUGGUGCAAACGGCGCUCUGGGUUGCUACUGACGCUGAGGCACGAAAGCUUGGGGAGCGAACGGGAUUAGAUACCCGAGUAGUCC